rnacentral:pre_miRNA from 1 species
UUAGUACUCCCUCCGUUCGGAAUUACUUGUCUCGAAUAUGGAUGUAUCUAGAACUAAAAUACAUCUAGAUACAUCCAUUUCUGCGACAAGUAAUUCCGAACGGAGGGAGUAUAAG